GACGAACGCUGGCGGCGUGCUUAACACAUGCAAGUCGAACGGCAAGGCCCUGCUUUUGUGGGGUGCUCGAGUGGCGAACGGGUGAGUAACACGUGAGUAACCUGCCCUUGACUUUGGGAUAACUUCAGAAAACUGGGGCUAAUACCGGAUAGGAGCUCCUGCUGCAUGGUGGGGGUUGGAAAGUUUCGGCGGUUGGGGAUGGACUCGCGGCUUACGAGCUUGUUGGUGGGGUAGUGGCUUACCAAGGCUUUGACGGGUAGCCGGCCUGGGAGGGUGACCGGCCACCAGACGCCUGAGAGACGGCCCAGACGGCAAUGGGAGGCAGCGGGGGGGAAUAUUGCACAGUGGGCGGGAGCGUGAUGCAGCGACGCCGCGUUCGGGAUGACGGCCUGCGGGUUGUGAACCGCUUUCGCCUGUUACGAAGCGUGAGUGACGGUAACGGGUGAAGAAGCACCGGCUAACUACGUG
rnacentral:rRNA from 1 species